rnacentral:rRNA from 1 species
GUGAGCGGCACAGCUCAAUUUGAAUCUGGCUCUUUCAGAGUCCGAGUUGUAAUUUGCAGAGGAUGCUUCGGCUGUGGCACCGGUCCAAGUUCCUUGGAACGGGACGUCAGAGAGGGUGAGAAUCCCGUAUGUGAGGCUUGCUCUUGCCGGGUAGAACCUCCUCCACAAACCCAUGUGGUUGGAAACCCACUUCUAUUAAG